CGGGCGGGGAUUAGUGGCGAACGGGUGAGUAACACGUGGGCAAUCUGCCCUGCACUCUGGGACAAGCCCUGGAAACGGGGUCUAAUACCGGAUAUGACUGUCCAUCGCAUGGUGGAUGGUGUAAAGCUCCGGCGGUGCAGGAUGAGCCCGCGGCCUAUCAGCUUGUUGGUGAGGUAGUGGCUCACCAAGGCGACGACGGGUAGCCGGCCUGAGAGGGCGACCGGCCACACUGGGACUGAGACACGGCCCAGACUCCUACGGGAGGCAGCAGUGGGGAAUAUUGCACAAUGGGCGAAAGCCUGAUGCAGCGACGCCGCGUGAGGGAUGACGGCCUUCGGGUUGUAAACCUCUUUCAGCAGGGAAGAAGCGAAAGUGACGGUACCUGCAGAAGAAGCGCCGGCUAACUACGUGCCAGCAGCCGCGGUAAUACGUAGGGCGCAAGCGUUGUCCGGAAUUAUUGGGCGUAAAGAGCUCGUAGGCGGCUUGUCACGUCGGUUGUGAAAGCCCGGGGCUUAACCCCGGGUCUGCAGUCGAUACGGGCAGGCUAGAGUUCGGUAGGGGAGAUCGGAAUUCCUGGUGUAGCGGUGAAAUGCGCAGAUAUCAGGAGGAACACCGGUGGCGAAGGCGGAUCUCUGGGCCGAUACUGACGCUGAGGAGCGAAAGCGUGGGGAGCGAACAGGAUUAGAUACCCUGGUAGUCCACGCCGUAAACGGUGGGCACUAGGUGUGGGCAAC
rnacentral:rRNA from 1 species